GACGAACGCUGGCGGCGUGCUUAACACAUGCAAGUCGAGCGGUAAGGCCCGUUCCGGGGGUACACGAGCGGCGAACGGGUGAGUAACACGUGGUGACCUGCCCUCAGCUCUGGGAUAAGCCUGGGAAACUGGGUCUAAUACUGGAUAUGACUCCACGGUGCAUGUCGUGGGGUGGAAAGCCUUGUGCGGCUGAGGAUGGGCCCGCGGCCUAUCAGCUUGUUGGUGGGGUGANGGCCUACCAAGGCGACGACGGGUAGCCGGCCUGAGAGGGCGACCGGCCACACUGGGACUGAGACAC
rnacentral:rRNA from 1 species